GAGAGGGUGACGGGAGAAGCGAACAAGAGGAAAGAAGGUGGGGCAGAGGAGACGAACGAUGAAGUUUUGAGCGCUCGUCAGCGACGGUGGGGCCAAAUGGUUGAGAAAGGAAGAACUCCAAUGGUUAUGGAUGAGGGAAGUUGAUGAGUCUUCGUGAAGAAGGAGACAUGGGGUGCUUAGAGGAAACAAAGAUCAAGAAGAAGGUGGGAAGAAGAGGCCGAAAAUCGUGAGGCACGGCUUGACUCCACCCACUUGAAAAUUUCAACUAGCUUAGUCAAGUGGAUACUUGAAGACUCGAUAAAGUUUUGGGAAGUCUACGAUCAGGUGAAAAGUAGAUCCGAAUUGGUGGCAGGAACGUGUGGAGAUGUGUAGCUGCAGAAGGGGCCCUUAGAUUGAGUCCUCUCCUCCCAUGUUGUUUUGGUUAUAAUUUUGACGUUUUUGGAAAAACACGCGAUAUUUUGUAACCGUUUCCUUUUGACGUG